GACCACAGCACUUUGAAACACAUGUUUCCGUAUGAUCACCGAAGUUAAGCAACGUCGAGCCUGGUCAGUACCCAGGUGAAUGACCGCUUAGGUAUACCAGGUGCUGUAAG